GGGAGUGCCGGGUGUGAGGGUGUGACAUCUGUCAGCCCAUUGAUUGCCAGGGUUGAUUCGGCUGAUCUGGCUGGCUAUGCGGGUGUCCCCUUCCUCCCUCACAGCUCCAUGUGCAUCCUUACCGAAGCUGCAAGCUCGGAUAAAGAGGACAACCUUCCCGAUAGAAGGAGGACCAUCCUUCGGUCAAGGGUAUACUAGUAGCUGCGCUCCCCUGCUAGAACCUCUAAACAAGUCUCAAGGUCUGAGUAGGGGCGUGCUGGUGAUAAGCUGACAUUCU
rnacentral:snRNA from 1 species